AUCUAGCUGACGAGUUCCAAAUAGGGUAAAAACGCACGUCCUGGAU
rnacentral:hammerhead_ribozyme from 1 species